GAUGAACGCUGGCGGCGUGCUUAACACAUGCAGGUCGAACGAAGCACUUUAUUUGAUUUCCUUCGGGACUGAUUAUUUUGUGACUGAGUGGCGGACGGGUGAGUAACGCGUGGGUAACCUGCCUUGUACAGGGGGAUAACAGUUGGAAACGGCUGCUAAUACCGCAUAAGCGCACAGCAUCGCAUGAUGCAGUGUGAAAAACUCCGGUGGUAUAAGAUGGACCCGCGUUGGAUUAGCUAGUUGGUGAGGUAACGGCCCACCAAGGCGACGAUCCAUAGCCGACCGGGGAGGGUGACCGGCCACAUUGGGACUGAGACACGGCCCAAACUCCUACGGGAGGCAGCAGUGGGGAAUAUUGCACAAUGGGCGAAAGCCUGAUGCAGCGACGCCGCGUGAGCGAAGAAGUAUUUCGGUAUGUAAAGCUCUAUCAGCAGGGAAGAUAAUGACGGUACCUGACUAAGAAGCACCGGCUAAAUACGUG
rnacentral:rRNA from 1 species